GGCGUUAGGGUGUCAUGGUAGGCAUGGGGCAGAAAGACAGCUACGUGGGCGACGAGGCGCAGAGCAAGAGGGGUAUCCUCACGCUCAAGUACCCCAUCGAGCACGGCAUCAUCACCAACUGGGAUGACAUGGAGAAGAUCUGGCACCACUCCUUCUACAACGAGCUGCGCGUGGCCCCUGAGGAGCACCCGACCCUGCUCACCGAGGCACCCCUCAACCCCAAGGCCAACAGGGAGAAGAUGACCCAGAUCAUGUUUGAAACCUUUAACGUCCCCGCCAUGUACGUCGCCAUCCAAGCUGUCCUCUCCCUCUACGCCUCUGGCCGCACGACCGGCAUUGUUCUCGACUCCGGGGAUGGCGUCACCCACAACGUGCCCAUCUAUGAGGGCUACGCUCUGCCCCACGCCAUCAUGCGUCUCGACUUGGCCGGCCGCGACCUAACCGACUACCGCAUGAAAGGGGCUACUCCUUCGUCACCACCGCCGAGCGGGAAAUCGUGCGCGACAUCAAGGAGAAACUCUGUUACGUGGCCCUUGACUUCGAGAACGAGAUGGCCACGGCCGCCUCCUCCUCCUCGCUGGAGAAGAGCUACGAGCUCCCUGACGGGCAGGUUAUCACCAUUGGGAACGAGCGUUUCCGGUGCCCUGAGACCCUCUUCCAACCCUCCUUCAUCGGCAUGGAGUCAGCUGGCAUCCACGAGACGACCUACAACUCCAUCAUGAAGUGUGACAUUGACAUCCGCAAGGACCUCUACGCCAACAACGUGUUGUCCGGCGGCACCACCAUGUACCCUGGCAUCGCCGACCGUAUGCAGAAGGAGAUCACAGCGCUGGCUCCCAGCACCAUGAAGAUCAAAAUCAUCGCCCCGCCGGAGCGGAAGUACUCGGUGUGGAUCGGUGGCUCCAUCCUGGCAUCCCUCUCCACCUUCCAGCAGAUGUGGAUCAGCAAACCCGAGUACGACGAGGCCGGACCCUCCAUCGUCCACCGAAAAUGCUUCUAAGCCCCCUCCCCGCCCUGCGGCGGCCCCCCCAGCCCAGGGUGGGGCGCCCCGCUCCUCCUCGGUCCCCGCUGCUCCUCCCCACCGCCCACUGUGCAUUAAAGCCUUUUCUCCAGGCUCUGCCCCUU